CUUGAAUUGGCUUGGCUGGGGAAUAAGUGAGCCCACAUAGGGGAAGAUGGCACACAGUGUGCUCGACAAACGGUGCUAGGUCCAUGCCCAGGAUCCAAGUCUGAGAACCCUGGGGCCUCUGAAGCCGAGUGUGUGAACUUCACCACUACACUACCAGUGUCAUGAAAUUUCUCGAAGAAUUCCGUUAAUGUUAAAGGUUUUUUGCCCGUGUCACUUCUUCUGAGACAUCUUCAACCUUUCAUCACAACCACUUUCUUUAUUUAUGUUGGUAAGUUCAUCUUCACUAAAUUUCCCUGGCAGCACAUCUGGAAUGUCUCAAACAGCUGC
rnacentral:lncRNA from 1 species